CCCAUCGCCUCCAUUUUUAGGGUUUUUGAACCACCAAUCACAAGCCAUAGUCUUUAUAUAUUCCAGUUACAACACAAGCAGAUCAUAAAGUAGUUUCAUCUGCCGCUGAUUUUCGUUUUCUCUGAUCAGUUCUCAGUUAUCUUGUUAGUGUAUGAGGCAUAUCCUACGAUCUGCAAGCAAUAAUGUUUUAGGUUUGAGGCAUACCACUUCUCAUGUUACUAUAAGAAUGAUCGUGUGAGGGAAUGAAAGAGAUUGUACCAUUGUUGUGAACUGAAAUGACGGUGCAUGAUCUCCGAUAAUUGUGUUCUACAUAAUCUGAUAAGUUAUAAAAAAGUGUUGUGUUUUUUAAAACAUUUUGGAAAUUUUGUUACACUUUUAUAACAUUUUUCCGUUUAUCUAAAGUAACCGAUUACCAUAAGGUUUUAUUUGAACACAUGAGUAUUUUGUUGGUA